rnacentral:rRNA from 1 species
UAAGCAUAUUAUUAAGCGGAGGAAAAGAAACUAACAAGGAUUCCCCUAGUAACGGCGAGUGAACGGGGAAGAGCCCAACACCGAAUCCCUUGGCGCAAGUCAACGGGAAAUGUGGUGUUAAGGUAGCCCUUCGUGUCAGUCUAGGCGUCUCAAGUCCACCUGAUUGUGGCUCAAGCCCAGAGAGGGUGUAAGGCCCGUAGAGACGCUCCGACUGAUUCCUGGGGUUUACCUACGAGUCGGCUUGUUUGGGAAUGCAGGCCAAAGCGGGUGGUAAACUCCAUCCAAGGCUAAAUACUGGCACGAGUCCGAUAGCGGACAAGUACCGUGAGGGAAAGUUGAAAAGAACUUUGAAGAGAGAGUUCAAUAGUACGUGAAACCGCUUAGAGGCAAACGGAUGGUGCUCAUACUGGCCUGAGGAAUUCAACUGUGACGGUGGCUGGACGAGCUGGCGUUCCGAUCUCUCUUUUGGGACGGGCGUCGGUUUGGCUAUCAGCUCCGACAUGGUGCACUUUCCUUGGUGCCUCCGCCACGACCGACGACACUGGCUACCCGCGGCUGGGGUAAGGUGACAAACUGCUUCGGCAAUUUGUGUUAUAGACCCCGGCGUCGGACAUGGUUUGGCCAGGACGUCGAGCUUGCGGCGCCCGCUCCUUGUGGGCUCGCAUGUUGGCUAGCUUGGCUGCGCCGAUGCUUGCACUGGACAACCAGUACAGGUGACGGUUGUGGUCUUGUCUCUAGUUGGCCUCUGCGAGUUUGGCGCCUAUAGUCUGUGGUGUACUUGUGGGUAGACUAUCCGACCCGUCUUGAAACACGGACCAAGGAGUCUAACAUGUGCGCGAGUCAUGGGGAUUCUACGAAACCCAAAGGCGCAGUGAAAGUAAAGGCCUGCUUCUCGUAGGCUGAGGUGGGAUCUCGUGCAUCGCGAUUGGCGAGCGCACCACCGGCCCGUCCUAUCUGUCUCUGUCAGUGGGGCGGCGCAAGAGCGUACACGUUGGGACCCGAAAGAUGGUGAACUAUGCUUGCGCAGCUCGAAGUCAGUGGAAACACUGAUGGAGGAGCGCAGCGUUUCUGACGUGCAAAUCGAUCGUCAAACGUGAGUAUAGGGGCGAAAGACUAAUCGAACCAUCUAGUA